UACAGAGGAAGUGUACCCCACUAAUUUAAGAGCUCUGGGUAUAGGACUUGCCUCGUGUUUUGCCAGAGUAGGAGGGAUAAUAUCACCAUACGCAGCACUUUUUGGAACUCAUAUCCCCUGGGGACCAGGAGUGGUGUUUGGAAUUUUGUCAGUAUUGGUGACUAUUUUGAUAAUAUGGUUACCCAAAACAACUGGGAAAGAAUUGCCCAACACUCUUGAGGAGGUUAAUGAACUUUAUGUCCUCAAGAAAGAUGAUAAUGUAAAUGUUUCUGAUUCAACUAAUAUGAAAUUUUGAAGAUUUCAUGUUUUUUAAUCAGGACAAUUCCUUCUAAAAAAAUCCUCAUGAAUUGACUAAUGGUGAUUGAACGCUAAGUUAAUAAUACUUUUUUGUUUUUCCUUUAUGAUUAUUAAGAAAAAAAAUGAAGAUGCAUUUAAGAAUAAAUUUUUGAGAUCGUUCACUGUUCGUUAUCACCAUUCUCUCAUUUCAUCUGAUUAAAAAAUAUUUCUUAAUGAAUGCAAGCAAAAUAAAAGAA